rnacentral:rRNA from 1 species
UGGGGAAUAUUGGGCAAUGGGCGCAAGCCUGACCCAGCAACGCCGCGUGAAGGAAGAAGGCUUUCGGGUUGUAAACUUCUUUUAAGGGGGAAGAGCAGAAGACGGUACCCCUUGAAUAAGCCACGGCUAACUACGUGCCAGCAGCCGCGGUAAUACGUAGGUGGCAAGCGUUGUCCGGAUUUACUGGGUGUAAAGGGCGUGCAGCCGGGACUGCAAGUCAGAUGUGAAAUCCGCGGGCUUAACCCGCGAACUGCAUUUGAAACUGCGGAUCUUGAGUACCGGAGAGGUUAUCGGAAUUCCUUG